rnacentral:rRNA from 1 species
GCCAGGGGCGGCAUGCUAUACAUGCAGUCGAACGAGCUUCCGUUGAAUGACGUGCUUGCACUGAUUUCAACAAUGAAGCGAGUGGCGAACUGGUGAGUAACACGUGGGAAAUCUGCCCAGAAGCAGGGGAUAACACUUGGAAACAGGUGCUAAUACCGUAUAACAACAAAAUCCGCAUGGAUUUUGUUUGAAAGGUGGCUUCGGCUAUCACUUCUGGAUGAUCCCGCGGCGUAUUAGUUAGUUGGUGAGGUAAAGGCCCACCAAGACGAUGAUACGUAGCCGACCUGAGAGGGUAAUCGGCCACAUUGGGACUGAGACACGGCCCAAACUCCUACGGGAGGCAGCAGUAGGGAAUCUUCCACAAUGGACGAAAGUCUGAUGGAGCAAUGCCGCGUGAGUGAAGAAGGGUUUCGGCUCGUAAAACUCUGUUGUUAAAGAAGAACACCUUUGAGAGUAACUGUUCAAGGGUUGACGGUAUUUAACCAGAAAGCCACGGCUAACUACGUGCCAGCAGCCGCGGUAAUACGUAGGUGGCAAGCGUUGUCCGGAUUUAUUGGGCGUAAAGCGAGCGCAGGCGGUUUUUUAAGUCUGAUGUGAAAGCCUUCGGCUUAACCGGAGAAGUGCAUCGGAAACUGGGAGACUUGAGUGCAGAAGAGGACAGUGGAACUCCAUGUGUAGCGGUGGAAUGCGUAGAUAUAUGGAAGAACACCAGUGGCGAAGGCGGCUGUCUAGUCUGUAACUGACGCUGAGGCUCGAAAGCAUGGGUAGCGAACAGGAUUAGAUACCCUGGUAGUCCAUGCCGUAAACGAUGAGUGCUAAGUGUUGGAGGGUUUCCGCCCUUCAGUGCUGCAGCUAACGCAUUAAGCACUCCGCCUGGGGAGUACGACCGCAAGGUUGAAACUCAAAGGAAUUGACGGGGGCCCGCACAAGCGGUGGAGCAUGUGGUUUAAUUCGAAGCUACGCGAAGAACCUUACCAGGUCUUGACAUCUUCUGCCAUCUUAGAGAUAGACGUUCCCUUCGGGGACAGAAUGACAGGUGUGCAUGGUUGUCGUCAGCUCGUGUCGUGAGAUGUUGGGUUAAGUCCCGCAACGAGCCGCAACCCUAUA